CUACGGGGGGCAGCAGUGAGGAAUAUUGCACAAUGGGGGAAACCCUGAUGCAGCAACGCCGCGUGGAGGAUGACGCAUUUCGGUGUGUAAACUCCUUUUAUAUGUCAAGAAAAUGACGGUAGCAUAUGAAUAAGCACCGGCUAACUCCGUGCCAGCAGCCGCGGUAAUACGGAGGGUGCGAGCAUUACUCGGAAUCACUGGGCGGAAAGGACGCGUAGGCUGGUUGGUAAGUCAGGUGUGAAAUCCUACAGCUUAACUGUAGAACUGCACUUGAAACUACCAACCUAGAGUAUGGGAGGGGGAGAUGGAAUUAGUGGUGCAGGGGUAAAAUCCGUAGAUAUCACUAGGAAUACCGAAAGCGAAGGCGAUCUCCUGGAACAUAACUGACGCUAAGGCGUGAAAGCGUGGGGAGCAAACAGGAUUAGAUACCCCAGUAGUC
rnacentral:rRNA from 1 species